UGGCUCAGAACGAACGCUGGCGGCAGGCUUAACACAUGCAAGUCGAGCGGGCGUAGCAAUACGUCAGCGGCAGACGGGUGAGUAACGCGUGGGAACGUACCUUUUGGUUCGGAACAACACAGGGAAACUUGUGCUAAUACCGGAUAAGCCCUUACGGGGAAAGAUUUAUCGCCGAAGGAUCGGCCCGCGUCUGAUUAGCUAGUUGGUGAGGUAAUGGCUCACCAAGGCGACGAUCGGUAGCUGGUCUGAGAGGAUGACCAGCCUCACUGGGACUGAGACACGGCCCAGAGCUCCUACGGGAGGCAGCAGUGGGAUCUUG
rnacentral:rRNA from 2 species